UACGAAGGGGGCUAGCGUUGCUCGGAAUCACUGGGCGUAAAGGGUGCGUAGGCGGGUCUUUUAAGUCAGGGGUGAAAUCCUGGAGCUCAACUCCAGAACUGCCUUUGAUACUGAAGAUCUUGAGUUCGGGAGAGGUGAGUGGAACUGCGAGUGUAGAGGUGAAAUUCGUAGAUAUUCGCAAGAACACCGGUGGCGAAGGCGGCAUCCUGGACCGGCAUUGACGCUGAGGCGCGAAAGCCAGGGGAGCAAAGCGGG
rnacentral:rRNA from 1 species